rnacentral:rRNA from 1 species
AAACUUGAGCUAAUACCGUAUAAUGACUCCGGUCCAAAGAUUUAUCGCCUAAGGAUGAGCCCGCGUCGGAUUAGCUAGUUGGUGAGGUAAAAGCUCACCAAGGCGACGAUCCGUAGCUGGUCUGAGAGGAUGAUCAGCCACACUGGGACUGAGACACGGCCCAGACUCCUACGGGAGGCAGCAGUGGGGAAUAUUGGACAAUGGGCGAAAGCCUGAUCCAGCAAUGCCGCGUGAGUGAUGAAGGCCUUAGGGUUGUAAAGCUCUUUUACCCGGGAUGAUAAUGACAGUACCGGGAGAAUAAGCCCCGGCUAACUCC